ACCUCAGUUCGGAUUGAAGGCUGAAAUUCGCCUUCAUGAAGUCGGAAUUGCUAGUAAUGGCAGGUCAGCAUACUGCCGUGAAUACGUUCCCGGGCCUUGUACACACCGCCCGUCACACCAUGAGAGUUGGAGAUACCCGAAGCCUAUGAGCUAACUUUUAGAGGCAGUAGUCGAAGGUAGAAUCAAUGAUUGGGGUGAAGUCGUAACAAGGUAUC
rnacentral:rRNA from 1 species